rnacentral:lncRNA from 1 species
UUUGAGAUGCUGGAGAGACUCAUUGCUGCCCAGCAGGGCCGAGAGGAGAGGAGGGAGCUACCUGACCCUCCCCCGCUUCCAUAAGUUGAGCCACCACUGUAACGAGAGGAUCCCGAGCCACCCCGGUACGACCCUAUUCCUCCACAAUAGCACCCCGGUACCACUGCAGUAUGAUCUUGUGUCUCAGCCACAGUACAACCCGGCACUGCCACAGUACAAUCUGGUGCCCCCACCGUAUCUGU